UUCAGCCCCAGAAAGCGUUCCCUUUUCUGAAAGUAUACGAUAACAAAGUGAGAUAACUGAGGGUUGGUACAAAUAUAGAAGGCACCCCUAGAUUUGUGUUUAUUAGAGCCUGUUUUUGGGGAGAGUGCUUUUCUCUGCCCAUACCGUGCCAUACCUGUAUAUACAAGUUCAUACAAUGCCAGGGCACCCAGCGUGCAUUUGCAGUCUUUUGGCCUAGGAGUCUGGGGAGGACCCUAUUGCAUGACUCCCACUCAUCUGUUGCCUUGAAGUUCAGCCUACAGCCUUUGCAUUCCUGAGGGCUGUGCUCUAUAGAUACAGUUUUUUGUUCUUCCUUUCUGGUUGCAGGAAAAACCUGGGCACCAACACCUUUUCCACUUUUACUUUCCAGUGAGAAGUGGGAUUUUUUUAAUUGAUCUAAUUUUUGUUAAAUCUGAAACUAUAGUAUGGUGAGGUCACUGUAAAUAGUUGGGAUGGCAUGAAAUUACAACCCUGUGUUCACACCUAGGUGAAGAACAGGCAUUUAGCCCACACACUCUCUGAACUGCCCUGUCCCUUAACCUGGCCUUUUACAGCCUAUGUUAUUCAGUGUCACCUAGCAUGACUUCCGUGAGGCUAGUUCUCAAAACGUCGACAUACUUAAUUUUAAAGUAAAGUUUUAGAUUUGGAGAAUAAUCAGUGUGCUGGUACAGUUGAUCCUACCCUUGUCCAAGCUGCCUCCUCCGCUGGUUAAGAAUUUUAACUAGAAGUAUUUGUCAAUCCCACCAAAUUGAGGGCCAUUAUGAACUCAAGGUACUAACAUGCAUAACAUGCAUCCACCAUUGUGAUAUGUAUUUUACCUGCCUUGCCUCCCAUGCUGAACCUGUUUAUUCACAUCCCCACCUCUGACAAUCAUCCAUCUUUCUUGCUGUCUCUAUAGUUUUGUCUUUUCCAGAAUGGACUCAGGUGGUCUGUGAUGGUUUUAGACUGGCACUUAAUAACAUGUGUUUACGGUUGUUCCUCUCUAAUAGUUUAAUCAUUAUAUGGAUAUACUCACUUUAUUCGUUUAUCCAUUGGAGAACAUAUUCAAACUUUGGACAAUUUUAAAUAAAGCUAGC
rnacentral:lncRNA from 1 species